rnacentral:tRNA from 1 species
GGUGUAAUGGUUAGCACAUCGGAUUUUGAAAUUCAAAGUUUCCGGGGAUCUGGGUUCGAUUCCCAG